CACGGGUGAGUAACACGUAUCCAACCUGCCGUCUACUCUUGGACAGCCUUCUGAAAGGAAGAUUAAUACAAGAUGGCAUCAUGAGUUCACAUGUUCACAUGAUUAAAGGUAUUCCGGUAGACGAUGGGGAUGCGUUCCAUUAGAUAGUAGGCGGGGUAACGGCCCACCUAGUCUACGAUGGAUAGGGGUUCUGAGAGGAAGGUCCCCCACAUUGGAACUGAGACACGGUCCAA
rnacentral:rRNA from 1 species